AUGUUUGCAAAUACCGAUUUUAUUUUCCUAACAUUUCUCUCAUCCCCGUGCGCCCGGUGAUUUGAUAUCUCUGUCGCGCAGGCAGUGGUGGCACAGCGCGCGCACAUAACCGGCAUGGUUAUCUUGACACGCUCGCGGGACUGAAACGCCUGCAGCUCGCGCCGUGAUCUGUGACAGUUGGAAAUGGACAGUCAGGACGGAGGAGCUGCCAAACCCUCUGACACAGACAUGAAACGUCCCAAGGGCCCAGACUGGUUGGAAAACAGCCUUCCUCCCAGGACUCAGAAGGAAGUCGAGGAAGAAGAAGAGGAGGAGGAAGAGGAGAGGGAAGUGGUGCCCGUUGCGGUGGCAAGUCACAGGGCCAAGCGGGAACGCCGGCAGGGCAGCGGCGGUGCCACGCUGUGCCAGGUGUGCAACAUUCAGCUUAACUCUUGUGCCCAGGCUCAGAUCCACUACAGGGGCAAGACGCACCAGAGGAGACUGCGCCACCUGGCCAAGGCGGCCAGCACGGGGCAUGAGGCGACCACAAGCUGUCACAACAGCUUCUCCUUUUCUUGGCAUGGAUUCUGCAAGUGUCUGGAAAAGCCUACUGUUUGGUGUUUUAUCAAUGGUUUUGAA
rnacentral:lncRNA from 1 species